UACAGAGGUCUCAAGCGUUGUUCGGAUUCAUUGGGCGUAAAGGGCGCGUAGGCUGCGGGGCAAGUCGGGUGUGAAAUCUCAGAGCUCAACUCUGAAACUGCACUCGAUACUGCUUUGCUUGAGGACUGGAGAGGAGAUUGGAAUUUACGGUGUAGCGGUGAAAUGCGUAGAUAUCGUAAGGAAGACCAGUGGCGAAGGCGGGUCUCUGGACAGUUCCUGACGCUGAGGCACGAAGGUCAGGGGAGCAAACGGG
rnacentral:rRNA from 1 species